GCGUCAGUAGUGUAAUGGAUAGAGCACGCGCUCCCGAAGAGUGAGGUGCGGGUUCGAGUCCCGCCUGACGCG